UACGUAGGGUGCGAGCGUUAAUCGGAAUUACUGGGCGGAAAGCGGGCGCAGGCGGUUUUGUAAGCCAGAUGUGAAAUCCCCGGGCUUAACCUGGGAAUGGCAUUUGGGACUGCAAGGCUUGAGUGCGGCAGAGGAGACUGGAAUUCCUGGUGUAGCAGUGAAAUGCGUAGAUAUCAGGAGGAACCCCGAUGGCGAAGGCAGGUCUCUGGGCUGACACUGACACUGAGGAGCGAAAGCGUGGGGAGCGAACAGG
rnacentral:rRNA from 1 species